UACGGAGGGUGCAAGCGUUAUCCGGAUUUACUGGGUUUAAAGGGUGUGUAAGCGGACUUUUAAGUCAGGGGUGAAAUCCCGAGGCUCAACCUCGGAACUGCCUUUGAUACUAUUGGUCUUGAAUGUUGUUGAGGUGGGCGGAACGGGUCAUGUAGCGGUGAAAUGCAUAGAUAUGACCCGGAACACCGAUUGCGAAGGCAGCCCGCUAAGCAACUAUUGACGCUGAGGCACGAAAGCGUGGGGAUCAAACAGG
rnacentral:rRNA from 1 species